CCGCCCAUAACUCAAUUGGUAGAGUAACUGCCUCUUAAGCAGUAAGUUCCAGGUUCGAGCCCUGGUGGGCGGA
rnacentral:tRNA from 1 species